GAUGAAGAACGUAGCAAAAUGCGAUAAGUAAUGUGAAUUGCAGAAUUCAGUGAAUCAUCGAAUCUUUGAACGCACAUUGCGCCCGCCAGUAUUCUGGCGGGCAUGCCUGUUCGAGCGUCAUUUCAACCCUCAAGCACAGCUUGGUGUUGGGACUCGCGUUAAUUCGCGUUCCCCAAAUUGAUUGGCGGUCACGUCGAGCUUCCAUAGCGUAGUAGUAAAACCCUCGUUACUAGUAAUCGUCGCGGCCACGCCGUUAAACCCCAACUUCUGAAUGUUGACCUCGGAUCAGGUAGGAAUACCCGCUGAACUUAAGCAUAUCAAUAAGCGGAGGA
rnacentral:misc_RNA from 1 species